rnacentral:rRNA from 1 species
UACGAAGGGGGCUAGCGUUGCUCGGAAUCACUGGGCGUAAAGCGCACGUAGGCGGCUUGUUAAGUCAGGGGUGAAAUCCUGGAGCUCAACUCCAGAACUGCCUUUGAUACUGGGGAUCUCGAGUCCGGAAGAGGUGAGUGGAACUCCGAGUGUAGAGGUGAAAUUCGUAGAUAUUCGGAGGAACACCAGUGGCGAAGGCGGCUCACUGGUCCGGUACUGACGCUGAGGUGCGAAAGCGUGGGGAGCAAACAGG